AAUAGCGGGGAAGAUGAAUUCUGGAUCGCUCUCCCUUAUAGUGAGUCCUCGAAACACUCAGCCUGGUAGUGAUAAAAAUGAUACGACUGCGGAAGGGGUUGAUAAUGUGGUGAAGGAUUUUGUGGAUGAUAAAAAUGAUAAGACUAUGGAUGGUGGUGACUAGGGUUUCUCUAAAAUCACCGAAGAUUUUACUGACAGUCUGAAUGCUUCAGAAUGUAAAAACAGUGGGGAUGAGUUAACUGAUAACAUUGAGGAGUUCGAUUGGUCUGAUAUACCUGAUAUCGAAUUCUCAAAAGUUACCGAACCCGGCAGCGGUAAAAAUCUAAUCGAGAGAGCGGAUAAAAAUCUUGUUGUUACAAAGUUAGAGAGACCCCGGAAACCAGCUAAGGCAUGUGAAUCACCAUAUGUGACAAAUUUUGAAUUUAGUGGUAGUAGCGUUCAAGGUCUUGUUUCGCCUCCAACUAAGCGCAUUUUCUCUACAAAGCACCCCUUCGAAGCAAUUGUUGAACUUGCUAUUGAUUUCGAGUUGUUAAAAAAGUUCAACAAUUUUGUUAAUCCGUCGAUACGAGUGAAGGAAAAGUAAUGCUUUGUUUCUGUUUUUUCCACUUUAUGCAUCUUUUUUCCCACUUUAUGCUUCUGUUCUUGUGUUUUUGUCCACUUUAUGCUUUUCAUUUGAUUUUUUCUUUAUCAUGAAUUCUUACAGGCUUGUUUAUCCAGAAAAAGUUAUAAGCUGAAAAAGAUUUUUGACUUUGGAGUUGCAUCUAUUGGAGAAAGAGAAUGGUUCCUCAUACUUGCAUAUCCAGGGCAACCACUAAGUGAUUUAGGACUGUGGUAUAUUUGCUGCUGUUUUUGCUGAGUACCUGAUUCAAGGCAUUGAAAUCCCCAAACAUUUAGAUGAUAUUGAUGCUUUGCGGAGCCGAUAUAGGAUACUGCUAUUGGAUUAUGGAAAAAAGAAACAAAGUAGAAACGCAGUUAGUGAUGACGAGUCUACUGGUAGAUUGAAGCAUGGAGUGAUUUGAAGAAGAAUUAGAUUUUAGAAUAGUUGCAAAUGUAGUAGGUGACAUAUGUUAAUGCAGAUACAAUUGCAUAGUUUUUGUUGAAGAAUAUGUUUGGAUUUUACCUAUGUUGGAAUAUCAUGUCAAUGCGUAAAACUCAGUGUGUUAAUAUCAUUCGCCUUAUUCAAUAUCAUUUUAUUCAACAUAUUUUAUUGGUU